CUCUUUUUGAUAAUAAUUUAAAGUUUAAUCUGCUCAAUGAAAAUUAAAUUGCCGCAGUAUUUUGACUGUGCAAAGGUAGCAUAAUAAUUAGUUUUUUAAUUGAAAACUGGAAUGAAUGAUUGGACGAAAAAAUUUCUGUCUUUUUAUUAUUUUUAUUGAAUUUUACUUUUAAGUUAAAAGGCUUAAAUUUUUUUAAAAGACGAGAAGACCCUAUAGAGUUUUAUUUUUAAUUUUUUUAUUUUUAUUAGAAUUUAAUUUAGUAAUUGAGUUAAAAAUUUAGUUGGGGUGACUAGUUGAUUAAUUUAACUCUUUUAAUUUUGAAUCAAUUAUUUUUGAUUAUAAAAUCUAUAUUUUUAAUUUUAAAAUAAAUUACCUUAGGGAUAACAGCGUAAUUUUUCUUUAAAGUUCUUAUUAAAAGAAGAGUUUGUGACCUCGAUGUUGGAUUAAAAUUUAUUUUAAGUGCAGAAGCUUAAAAAUUGAGUCUGUUCGACUUUUAAAAUUUU
rnacentral:rRNA from 1 species